AGAGGGGGUGUUCCCUCCAGAGGUUGUUACCCUCAACAGUACAGCUGUUCGUGUCAUCUGGACAUCUCCAUCUAACCCAAAUGGUGUGGUCACGGAAUAUUUGGUGUAUGUGAAUGACAGGCAACACAAGACUGGCAUGAGCUCAUCUGGAUCUUUUGUAUUAGGAGGCCUCUUGCCAUUUACUAUAUACAACAUACAGGUUGAAGUUUGCACUGUGUAUGCAUGUGUGAAAAGCAAUGGGACUCAAAUAACUACAGUAGAGGAUGAACCCAGUGAUAUGGUGGCACCAAAUGUACAUGUGAUUAGUUCAAGGUCUCUCAGAGUUGAUUGGGCAUCACCAGGCCGCCCAAACGGCAUCAUGCUCGGAUAUGAUGUGAGGCGCAGAACAUUACGCUGGUGUGCACAGGCCCAGCUGCUGCAGGAGAUGCAGACAGGGAGGCAAUGCUUAUAUGUGCAAUGUGGAAUAAAUGAAAACAUAUGUGGGGGCUUUUGCUAUCAA